rnacentral:rRNA from 1 species
UACAGAGGGUGCGAGCGUUAUUCGGAAUUAUUGGGCGUAAAGGGCGCGUAGGCGGUGCGGUAAGUCACCUGUGAAAUCUCCUGGCUCAACUGGGAGCUUGCAGGCGAAACUGCCGUGCUGGAGUGUGGGAGAGGUGCGUGGAAUUCCUGGUGUAGCGGUGAAAUGCGUAGAUAUCGGGAAGAACACCCGUGGCGAAGGCGGCUCUCUGGGACGGUACUGACGCUGAGACGCGAAAGCGUGGGGAGCGAACAGG